UAGUAGGUGCUCGGUAUUCCCCGUGCGUGAUAAAAACUGGCAACUCGCCUCGCUGAUCAUCUGCAUCUGCGAUCGUGUAGAGGGGCCGUAAUAAUAUGUUUGUUUUAUCAUCGAUAACGUUGAUAAGCAGUAGAUAGGUACCUAAGUGAAAAAAAACUUCAGAGCAGUUGAUCUGAUAACUUCACCGUCUGCAGCCAACAAUGAAGUUUCAAUAACCACUAUCGGGUUUCAAAGUAGAAUCAUACAGUCCGCGUUUAAUCGAUGUGCCUCCUAUUUCUUCAAAUGCACCUAAUGACAGCUGCACAUAAAAAUGUAUGAUUUUCGCAAUCCAGUAUUAUUUGAACAUCUGUUAAACCAGGCGGGUUUAAUAGAAGAUUUUUAUAGAUCGAUACAGCAAGGUAACAUAGGGGAAGCUGUUGUGAUUGCAAUAAAAUCACUUAGGAUAAAUAACAUUCCUAUCAUUAAAAAAGAACCGAAAUCAGCGAACUUUUCGCAUAGGGCAUGUCAUGUUGGAGACCAGGCCCUCAAUAAUAAAAACUACAGGAAUGCUUUUGAAAUGUAUAACUGUGCAAUCAGAUGUGCGCCUGAGGGUUCUGAGGCAAUGUUGGACGCGUACUUUGGUAGAUCCAGACUGUUAUUCGCUAUCGGAACCUGCCCUUCAGAAUGUAUAGCUGAUAUAGACACAUGUCUUUCUUGGAAAAACCUCGCAUACGAACAAAGGCUACAAAAAAUGAAAGCAGACAGCCUUAAAAAAAUUAAAACCAUCGACCCUCGCUCAAGGAAUGCCUUUGUUGAUAAUUUCUUUAACAUUAAAAACAAACACCCGCUUGUGCCAAGCGUCAGCGCCGACGUCGAUUUCGUCAUUGAAAGCGGACAGUCAAAAGUAGUUGCUCGGCAGAACAUCCCGCCGGGAACAUUAGUUGCACUAGAGGCAGCUUACGUUGCAAUUUUACGAGACCUAAAUAAAAACAGAUCAUGUUACUAUUGUCAUCAUAUUUCAUUAAAUCUAAUUCCGUGUCACAGUUGUACAGGAAUAUUAUUCUGCAGCCCAGAAUGCAGGAAGCUUUGCUGGGAAGAGUUUCACAAUGUCCAAUGUCAUAUAAUUUCACUAUUCGAGGAUGAUAAACUAACUGGAUCAUCACUACCCACCGUAGCAGCUAUAAAAUUUAAAAAUUCAUGUUCCUGGGACGAAUUUAUAGCAAUUUCUCAUAAUUUGGGUUUGAAAAAGAUGGAAAACAGUAUGAUAAACGUAGUUUAUGAUGUAAACAACAAGGCGUCGAUUUUGAAAUUCAACAAUGAAAAUAAUAUGUUCGUUUUUGGAGAUACUUUCAAUGCACUUAAUGUCAUUGCCGUUAUAAUAUUCCAUUUAGAAGAAGUACUACCAUCAUUCUUUCCUCGUGAGAAAGACGAAGCUAUCCGUGCAAUGGGCAGAGUAUUACUGCACAUACAUAAAUCUACCAGACACGCAAUACAUAUUGGGAAUACGGCUAAAGCAGCAAUGGAUGAGAAGAGUAUUCUUCUGGAAAAUCAUGGCUUAUUUUCGUUUACGAGUAAAUUGAAACACUCUUGUGAUCCAAAUCUUUACGUAUCAGGACUAAACAAUAAAGCUGCACUUAUAUCAUUGAGACCAAUAAAAAUGGGAGAAGAGUUAACAAUAUCAUACAUCGGCCACUGGUAUGAUCACAUAAUAACAAACCGAUCCUUGCACAUGUGGAUGAAUAAUAAAAAAAUCUGCCGAUGCAAAGUCUGUGUUAAUAACUGGGAUCACCGAAUGGUCGGCCUACCUAAAGCCAAAAUGACCGCUCAACAAAAAUCAUCGUUCGACAAGUGGAUGUAUUUGUUUACCGCUUCUCAUAUAAGCCCGGUGAACUUCGUUACUAUGUAUAAAGAAACUUUUCGCUGUAUCGGGGAAUUACACGACCUACCGAACACCCAAGAACAUAGACAAAUCUAUAACGAAAUGAGAGGUUUGAUUGAAUCUUUAAAGUACCAAGCUACAAAAAGUUGCACGAUUUAAAUUAAAUUACAAAAUAAUGUUUGUGACAGUGUUUUUAAGAUUCUGCGCUCCGUGCCGCGCGCUCAUGGCCGGUAAUGAAAAAAGAAGAAUUUAUUUUAUGUUGUCACUUUGACACUUCACUGCGAUUUGCUCUUUUGAUUUUGUUCGGAUUGAUAAAUUAUUUCUUUUAUGUUUUUUGUAAUUGUCUAUUGUAAAUAUUAUAUUUGUUUAUUCAAAGCCGCUUAUAAUUCAAUAUACAUCUACCUCCGAUAAAUUAAUGUGAGGAGACGUUAGAUUCGUCUCCCACAAGUGUUUUUGACAUGCUUUUUUUAGUUUGUUAAGUCUUUUUGUAUAAAAUACUAGCUGACCCGGCGAACUUCGUACCGCCUUAGCGUAGAGAUUUUCUUAAUAUUUUUUUCCGUAAGAACCAUCCUUGGACUUCCACAAACAUUUAAAAAAAAGAAUUAUCGAAAUCGGUUCAGCCGUUCACACGUGAUGCCGUGACAACGCGAAACGGGUUUCAUUUAUAUAUAUAUAGAUUGUAUCUGUUAAUCAGACUGAUUAUACAAUGUAAUACAUAUUUUUGAAUUAAAUUAAAUAAAGUUUUAAAUGGA